CGGACGGGUGAGUAAUGUCUGGGAAACUGCCCGAUGGAGGGGGAUAACUACUGGAAACGGUAGCUAAUACCGCAUAACGUCGCAAGACCAAAGAGGGGGACCUUCGGGCCUCUCGCCAUCGGAUGUGCCCAGAUGGGAUUAGCUAGUAGGUGGGGUAACGGCUCACCUAGGCGACGAUCCCUAGCUGGUCUGAGAGGAUGACCAGCCACACUGGAACUGAGACACGGUCCAG
rnacentral:rRNA from 1 species